ACGGUUUGGACAUGUCCAGAGGAGGGACCGGAAGGAUGUUGGACAGGACACGGAAGUAGUUGGACAAGAGCGCAGACGGGCUGUGUCCAAAACGACAGGCCGCGUCUCGUCUUCACUCACCUGGAGACCACUCCCCCCAUAAAGCUCUCCUCGGGGCUACACUGCAGCAGGUGUGUGUUGCUCAACAGGUGGACACGCACCUGACAGGAGCUCCCAGCAUGAUAGCUCCACCCCUGUGCUUCACAGAGUUCUGCUGAGGUGGAAACGGACCGAAGAUGAAGGCUGGGACUAAUGAGGAGAGAGGAUGCAGCUGCGACACCUGGGAGGAAUGAACCAGAGGAGCACAGGUAAAAACAGAAAAAACACAAAUAC